rnacentral:lncRNA from 1 species
UCCCCAUUAUUAAACCCCUGUUGUUGAAGGAAUUCUCCCUCGAGCCCCCUUUGAAGCGACGAAAAUCUUCAACGGCCGCUCGAUGAUCGGAGAACUCACAGACUGUUGUUUUCCUCCUUGCCCUCCUCCAAGCCCAUGGCAUCCUCUUGAGGAUGGCCUCCGAGGUGGAGGCCCUGGCGGGGGAACCCCUUAGAGAGGAAUCGGGGGGCUGGAGAUGACAGAGAGAUGGCAAAGACCGGCGUGGAGGACGCUCAGAGUUGGCAGGGGCACCGAUGGAGUGGCUGAGUAGCUAAGCUCUCAGACGAAGGAAGGGUGUCGUCCUUCAGGUGAGGUAAGGCCCUCGAAGGAAGGGUGGGGGGUUUAAAUAGGCAGCAGAUAUCAGCGCAAUUAUGGUGGCGAGUGUCCCUAGACCAAUCGGUGCUCACCACGUGUCCCGCGUGUCCCACUCGCCGCUACCGAGGGUUGACUGCUCGCAAACUUUCAUGACGCGAUGCUUGGGAUCACAUCCCGGUGGGGGUUCUGAAAAGACUCUUCGGGUCACCCUAAUCGAAAAAAGGGCUCCAGCAUGCGCGCAUUAAAUGCCGACAUAUCCA